CUUCCCUCUUGCCUCAUGUGCAAGCGAGUGCGGACUGGAGAGAACGAGGGAAGACAACCAAACAGCCGGAUGGAUGAGAAGGAGAAGAUCCACUUGUUCUACUGCGCCGAGUCGGAGGAGCUCGCCCGCAAGGCCGCCCACCUUGCCAUCCAGUGAUCCAGCUCCAGUCCAUCUCCUGGAGAAAGUUUUGGCUGUGUGACAAAAGUUAGUGCCCGUGUAACUCAUGGUGUGUUUCCAAAGCAGACAUGGGAGACCUUCACACAAGUUGGUGCUAACGGCCGAGUCUUGAGUCCAUUUGCCUACAUCUGGAUAAGCAGCUCUUAUCCUCAGCCUUGCAGGGUGCUCUUCAGAUUUGGUGCUCUAAAUCCUAAUUUAGUGUUCCACUUUCAGAAUAAUGUUAUAUGGGCGUGUGGCCUUUGUGGAGGAUUAGUCCUGGCUUCGUAUUUAAGUAAUUAGUGUAUAAUCAU